UGGCUUCAUGUGACAGACUGUCACUGUGAGAAAGGAGUUCCUGUUUAUGAGUUUCAAUAAAGUCCUGAGAAGACUUGCCCUGUAAGUUUGGUGAACUCAAGAACCAAGUGUCAUUGACUUCUACAGUCAUGCUUCCUGACAGCUGUUCAGUUCUUCUGUUCCUCUUGAUGUUCAGGAUGAGCAAUGGAGACUCAGUGACCCAGACAGAAGGCCUGGUUACUGUCACAGAGGGGUCACCUGUGAUGCUGAACUGUACCUAUCAGACUACUGAUUCAGCCCCUUAUGUUUUCUGGUAUGUGCAAUAUAUCAACAAAGCCCCUCAACUACUCCUGAAGGGAUUCACAGACAAGAAGAGGACAGAAUACCAAGGGUUCCACGCCACUCUCCAUAAGAGCAACAGCUCCUUCCACCUGCAGAAGUCCUCGGUGCAGCUGUCAGACUCUGCCCUGUACUACUGUGCUCUGAGUGACACAGUGAGGGAGACUGCAGGGGAAGCUGCACACAAACCAAGGGUACAGGAGGGCUGAGGGGGUGGACCUGUGAGGGAGAGCUGAGUAUGUCUCUAAGUGGGGUUUGCUCAGCCUCCAGAAGAACAGCAACAAAUUUCAGAUCAAAGUCCCAGAAACCUAGGAAUAUGUGGAUUUUU